GUGGGGAAUCUUCCGCAAUGGACGAAAGUCUGACGGAGCAACGCCGCGUGAGUGAUGAAGGUCUUCGGAUUGUAAAGCUCUGUUAAUCGGGACGAAAGAGCCUAGUGUGAAUAAUGCUAGGAAGUGACGGUACCGGAAUAGAAAGCCACGGCUAACUACGUGCCAGCAGCCGCGGUAAUACGUAGGUGGCAAGCGGUGUCCGGAAUUAUUGGGCGUAAAGCGCGCGCAGGCGGAUCUGCCAGUUUGUCUUAAAAGUUCGGGGCUUAACCCCGUGAUGGGAUGGAAACUACAGAUCUAGAGUAUCGGAGAGGAAAGUGGAAUUCCUAGUGUAGCGGUGAAAUGCGUAGAUAUUAGGAAGAACACCAGUGGCGAAGGCGACUUUCUGGACGAAAACUGACGCUGAGGCGCGAAAGCCAGGGGAGCGAACGGGAUUAGAUACCCUAGUAGUCC
rnacentral:rRNA from 1 species